rnacentral:lncRNA from 12 species
CUUUCAUCCUCUGCCAGGGGCCUGACGCGGGCCGGCGGAUCCCCGGCCUCAAAUCGGAGUGAGAGGCGCUGGCGAUGGACCGGGAGGCUCGGCUGCCGCUGCUGCUGCUCCCCCCUGGGCUCCGGCGGGAGCCUUUCCCGGUCAGGCAAGAGGGGCUGCUUAUGCAUCCCCACAACAUGGCAGGCGGUGACCCGAGGGAGAGAACCAGACAACGCCCAACAUGGAAGCCACUUUCAAACACUCAGCGGGGGCGGGGGGCUCAGCGGUAUAGCGCCGCCUGCAGCCCAGGGCCCGAUCCUGGAGUCCCGGGAUGGAGUCCCACGACCGGCUCCCUGCAUGGGGCCUGCUCCUCCCUCUGCUUGUGUCUCUGCCUCUCUGUCUCUCAAGAAUAAAUAAAUAAAAUCUUUUAAAAAAAAUUUAAAAAUAAAAAU